ACUGUUUAUAAAUAUUCUCUGGAUUUGCCAUCUAGCACGGUAGGAAAAAUCGACCAAUUUACUCACAUCUGGGAUUAAAAAGCAAAGAGUCUCACUCAGACAGUAUCAGUAUUUGAUAUUCAGAAGCAGAAACAGAAGAAUUGUGAGAUUGGCUUCCAGUCACAGAACUUCAGCCAUUUCAGUUUAGCCUCUCACCCUCUGUGCUCUCACUUCCCAAGACAGCAAAGUAUUUCAAAGCAGGAAGGAGUAUGACAAAAGGAGGAAAUGGCACCAUCAGGUCUCUGGGGUCUGAUCAACAAUGCUGGUGUUCUCGGCGUGCUGGCACCCACCGACUGGCUGACAGUGGAGGACUACAGAGAACCUAUUGAAGUGAACCUGUUUGGACUCAUCAGUGUCACGUUAAAUAUGCUUCCCUUGGUCAAAAAAGCUCGAGGGAGGGUUAUCAACGUCUCCAGCAUUGGGGGUCGGCUUGCAUUCAGCGGAGGGGGCUAUGCUCCAUCCAAAUAUGCAGUAGAAGCCUUCAAUGACAGCUUAAGGCGGGACAUGAAAGCUUUUGAUGUGCACGUCGCAUGCAUUGAACCAGGAUUGUUCAAAACAGAUUUGUCAGAUCCAGUAAAGACCACCGAAAGAAAACUCACCAUUUGGAAGCAUCUGUCUCCAGACAUCAAACAACAAUACGGAGAAGGCUACAUAGAAAAAAGUCUAGACAAACUGAAAGGCACUACAUCCCUUGUGAACAUGGACCUUUCCCUGGUGGUGGAAUGCAUGGACCACGCUCUCACAAGUCUCUUCCCUAAAACCCAUUAUGUUGCUGGAAAAGAUGCCAAAACUUUCUGGAUUCCUCUGUCUCACAUGCCAGCAGUUUUGCAAGACUUUUUAUUGUUGAAAAAGAAAGUAGAGCUGGCUAAUCCCAAGGCAGUGUGACUCAGCUGACCACAAACACCUGCGCCAGGCUAUGAGAUUGGCUGAUUCCAAGGACACAUCUCCUUCUCCAUCUCAUUCUUUACCUAAUCCAACCUGGACUCAUUUAGAUGAUGCUUCUUUUGGUAAAAGAAGAGAUCCCACCAUCACUGAUGAUGUCCCAGGGUCCCUUCUCAAACUUUAUUUGAAAAGAUGGGCAGACCUGACUUCUUUACUAAUUUCUCCAAGUAGCUACAAUUGGCAGGACAUGUCCAUGCCAUCCAGGCUGAAGAGAAUCUCUUCUAUUUAAAAUCUCUCCAGAAACUCCAUAACUUCUCUGGGGAAGCCAACCCAGCAUUUAAUGAGGAAAACUUCCAGGAGCUUCUAAGAAAAGUGAUCAAUUUUGGCUCUUCUCCACCCUAUUAAUCCCAAUAAUUCUCAAGAACACAAGAGAUAACAGUACCAUCCGUGUGGAGGAAAGAGCGAAACAUUGGUAAAAUGAAAAGCUUUUUAAUACUUACAAAUUAUUUGUGACAUCUUAAUCUUUGCCACAGUUUAUAAGGAUAAUACUGGUCAACAGUUUCAUGAAUUUUUGCACGUUGAAAAAUAAGACAAUUCUGUUGAUACUCAAUUCAGACAUUCUUCCUCAACUCUGUGAUUCAUUUUUUUAAAACAAAAUAUGAGUAAUAUCCAUUCUUCGAUAUGAGGCAUUAAAAUAGCCAGGGCUCUAAUGCAGAUUCAGGUUUAGCAAAGUUUCCAAGCUCUUUCUGCACACAGUACCUGCCUAGGAAAAAACCAGAUCACAGCUCUUGCCUAAUUCAUUCCUGGAAAUAAAUAACACUCCAGCCUGAAACAGGUCAUGCAAAGCAACAUAGCAUUCUGUCACAUUCUACACCAGCAACUGCCCUGAACAGUUCCAUUUCAGUUCAUUUUGAGAAACUGGAGAUGGAAAGCAUUCUGCUAUAGAUACAUAGCAUAAGCCCUAACAAAAACCAUCUAGUCCCAUGCCUAGGUAAAAUAUUUACUCUCAGCCCUCUGGGUCUGUUUUUUCCUCCUAGAUAUGGCAACUAGAACUUGAGCAUGAUGCCACCCAAUUAAUGAUGGUACCUUUGUUAUGGAUCAAGUAAAUCCAAGCAACCUGGCUUCUCACAGGUAUAAUAAGAAAAAUAUAGUAAUGUUUAUUCAACACUCAGUACAUGUCAGGUUCUUAAUGCAUUUGUACAUUUUAUGAAUGACUUUACCUAACCUUAAUCAUAUCUUAGAUAUAGGUUUUUUUUUUUGCUUUUUGUUUGUCUUUAAUGUGGUAGGAACACAACAUGAAAUCCACCCUCUUAACAAAGGAAGUGUACAAUAUGAUACUGUAAAGUAUAGGUACAGUAUUGUACAAAAGAUCUCAGGAACUCAAUCAUCUUGCAUAAAUGAAAUUUUACACCAGUUGAACAGCAGUUCUCCUUUUUCCUUUCCCUCCAGUCCCUGGCAACUACCAUUCUACCCCCUGCUUCUAUGAGUUUGACUAUUUUACAUGCCUGAUAUAAGUGGUAACGUGAUAUUUGUCUUUCCGUGACUGGUUUCUUACUUAUUUUUAAAAAAUAUUUAUUUAUUUGUUUGUUUGCACCGGGUCUUAGUUGUGGCAGGUGGGCUCCUUAGUUGUGGCAUGAGAACUCUUAGUUGUGGCAUGCAUGUGGGAUCUAGUUCCCUGACCAGGGAUCGAACCCAAGCCCCCUGCAUUGGGAGCACGGAGUCUUCUCCACUGCUCCACCAGGGAAGUCCCUGUGACUGGUUUAUUUCACUUAGCAUAAUGUCUUUUAGGUUCAUCCAUGUUGAGGCAUAUAGAAGGAUUUCCUUCUUUGUUAAGGCCGAAUAAUAUUCCAGUGUAUGUAUAUACCACGUUUUCUUAAUCCAUUCAUCUGUUGGUCAACAUUUAGAUUGUUUCCAUAUUUUCGUUAUUUUGAAUAGUGCUACUAUAAACAUGGAAGUGCAAGUAUCUCUUUGGGAUUCGGAUUUCAAUUCUUUUGGAUAAAUGCCCAGAAGUGGGAUUUGCUGGAUCAUAUGGUAUUUCUAUUUUUAAUUUUUUGAGGAACCUCCUUAAUGUUUUCCAUAGCAACUCCACCAUUUUACAUUCCCAUCAACUAUGCUUAAGCAUUCCAGUUUCUCUACAUCCUCACCAACACUUAUCUUUUGUUUUCUUGGUAAUAGCCAUCCUAACAGGUGUAAGGUGAUACUUCAUUGUGGUUUUGAUUUGCAUUAUUUGAUGAUUAGUGAUUAGUGAUAUUGAGCAUCUUUUCAUGUACCUGUUGGUCAUUUACAUAUCUUCUUUGAAGAAAUGUCUAUUCAAGUCCUUUGCCCAUUUUUUAAUCAGGUUAUUUGGUUUUUUGCUAUUAAGUUAGAGUAGUUCCUUAUAUAUUUUGGAUAUUAGGUAUGUUUUUUAGAGAUAGAGAAAUGAAGUCACAGAGAGGUGAACAAUUUGCCCAAGUAUGGGCCAGGGUUCAAACCCAAGCAGGCUAAUGCCAGAACUCAUGCUCAGAACCACUGUAGUAUAUAGAAAUUGAGUCUUACAGAGUAUUUUUCUAAUCUUCAAUACUGGGUCUAUAGAAACAAAACCUUAAUUAAAUUAAUCUAACAUGUGUAUUGUCUAGCUAAUAAUUAUUAUGCAUAAGAGUAAUGCAUAAUUUUGAGCAUAUAUAAAUAUACAUUGUUUUGUUUUCCUAUAUACUAUUUUUAAAUUUUUCUCACUGGUGUUAAAAUAACAAAAGCACUUAUACAUCAUUCCUCAGGUCCUUGAAGUUUUCUAAAUGGAUUUCUAGAUUUCUUUUCUUUCCUUCUUUCUAUCUUUUUUUCAUUGUUGUUGUUGUUGAUUUUAUUUAUUGUUAUUAUUGUUGUUAAUCAUUUCAGGAAUUUAUAUGUAAAUACUUUUUUCUAACCUCAAUAAAAG